rnacentral:rRNA from 1 species
UGAACGCUGGCGGCGUGCCUAAUACAUGCAAGUCGAGCGAACAGACGAGGAGCUUGCUCCUCUGACGUUAGCGGCGGACGGGUGAGUAACACGUGGAUAACCUACCUAUAAGACUGGGAUAACUUCGGGAAACCGGAGCUAAUACCGGAUAAUAUAUUGAACCGCAUGGUUCAAUAGUGAAAGACGGUUUUGCUGUCACUUAUAGAUGGAUCCGCGCCGCAUUAGCUAGUUGGUAAGGUAACGGCUUACCAAGGCGACGAUGCGUAGCCGACCUGAGAGGGUGAUCGGCCACACUGGAACUGAGACACGGUCCAGACUCCUACGGGAAGCAGCAGUAGGGAAUCUUCCGCAAUGGGCGAAAGCCUGACGGAGCAACGCCGCGUGAGUGAUGAAGGUCUUCGGAUCGUAAAACUCUGUUAUUAGGGAAGAACAAAUGUGUAAGUAACUAUGCACGUCUUGACGGUACCUAAUCAGAAAGCCACGGCUAACUACGUG